AACGGCGAGUGAAGCGGCAAGAGCUCAAAUUUGAAAUCUGGUCCCCUCGGGGCCCGAGUUGUAAUUUGCAGAGGAUGCUUCGGGUUCGGCCCCGGUCUAAGUCCCCUGGAACGGGGCGUCAUGGAGGGUGAGAAUCCCGUCUGGGAUCGACGGCCGGACCCGUGUGAAGCUCCUUCGACGAGUCGAGUUGUUUGGGAAUGCAGCUCCAAAUGGGUGGUAAAUUUCAUCUAAAGCUAAAUACUGGUCGGAGACCGAUAGCGCACAAGUAGAGUGAUCGAAAGAUGAAAAGCACUUUGAAAAGAGAGUUAAACAGCAUGUGAAAUUGUUGAAAGGGAAGCGCUUGCGACCAGACUCGCCCGCGGGGGCUCAGCCGGCAUUCUUGCCGGUGCACUCCCCCGCGGUCGGGCCAGCGUCGGUUUGGGCGGUCGGUCAAAGGUCCCCGGAAUGUGUCGCCCCUCGGGGCGUCUUAUAGCCGGGGGCGCAAUGCGGCCUGCCCGGACCGAGGAACGCGCUUCGGCACGGACGCUGGCGUAAUGGUCGUAAGCGGCCCGUCUUGAAACACGGACCAAGGAGUCUAACAUCUACGCGAGUGUUCGGGUGUCAAACCCGUCCGCGCAGUGAAAGCGAACGGAGGUGGGAGCCCUUAAGGGUGCACCAUCGACCGAUCCGGAAGUCUUCGGAUGGAUUUGAGUAGGAGCGUAGCUGUUGGGACCCGAAAGAUGGUGAACUAUGCCUGAAUAGGGUGAAGCCAGAGGAAACUCUGGUGGAGGCUCGCAGCGGUUCUGACGUGUGCAAAUCGAUCGUCGAAUUU
rnacentral:rRNA from 1 species